GUCUACAGCCAUACCACCCUAAAUGUGCUUGAUCUCGUCUGGUCUCAGAAGCUAAGCAGGAUUGGGCCUGUUUAGUACGUGGAUGAGAGAAUCUAUUUACAGUAUUCU
rnacentral:rRNA from 1 species